rnacentral:lncRNA from 1 species
GAGUCUCAGCAAGGAAGAACACAACAAAAUCUCCCUAUUCUCCCCUCCUUUCCAAACACUUAAGAAACACACAAACAGCACUGUCAUGAGGUGCAGCUCAUUGAGAACAGAGAAAACAAGUCCCAGCCCAUCUUAGAUUCUAUUGGUUUCUGUUUAAUAAACACCUCUCACAUUUUUUGUGUGUGUGUGUGUGCACACAGGCUUGCUCAUGCUAUAUGGAGUGUAAAUUUUUAAAAAGGAGGGAUGUGCAUGCGCAUGGGUAUGCACAUGUUGACAUGUGUAGGCAUGCAAUAUGUAUAUUUGUGAGUUCUUUUUUUAUUACCUCAUAUUUUGCUUGCUUCUUAUGUAAAAAAUAACCCCAAAGCGUCUGUGUUCUCCCUGUAUGCAUCGGAAGCUAUAAUAGUCAAAGAAGUAAAAUAAGACCAUUGUGACUUUACUUCUUUGAAUGCAUAUGCCCUCCUAGGCUGUCGUUUUUAUUUUCUUAUCUGCUACACCACCACCACCCUACUUACUGCCUGUCACCUGGUGACCUCUAGGCUUCUUGGUUACAGGCACAAACUUGCAAGUGCCCAAAUCAUCAUGCCCAGUCUGUGUGCACUGCCUGCCUGUAUUGUAGCUCACCUUACAGUCGACUGGCUUUCUCACCAGGACACGGUUGACUGCAUCUCCUAUUCAUUAGGUUUACAAAAAAAUACACAGAGGUCUACUCCAUACCUGGCAGUCUACAGCUAUGGCUGAAAUCUGACACGACCCCAUGGCUACAAAACACCAUACUCUUUCUGCCUGCUUAUCAGGACUUACUGCCUUAACUCUACUGCAUCCAACACUUAUGGACCACUCUCCGCUCCUUCAAAGACUCCACAUCCUCUACAGGAAUUUCUGGACCCGUACUAGCAUGAUUCAACAGGACUGGACUAUGUUCGAUUAUGGUCAAACAACAUCUUGUCCCUCUCCACUUUCCUGUGGGGUCCCCCAAGGCUCAGUACUUGGUCCUGUUCUGUUCAUUUUGUACACAAAACUCCUUUUAUCAUGCAUCCAGUCUCACCAGGUUUCUCAUCAGUCAUUUGCUGACAACACGCAACUGUACUGCUUCACUCCACCAAAUAAGUCUCACUCUUCUAUCAAUAUAGAAGCCUGUAUUACGCUAGAUAAUGAUAAAACAGAAGCCCUCCUAUGCUCUAGAAGAAGAAAUCAACUUUCGCUAAUCCGUCUGCCCAAUCACAUAAAAAGUGAGCAAAACUAACAUCAUCUUUCCGUCAUCAGUCAGAAAUAUGGGAUUCAUUGCCACUGCAGACAUGACAUGACAAUUGAUAAAGAAGUUAUAGCUGUCUAUCAGCCUGCCUAUUAGUUACGUAAGAUCAGGGCCAUCUAUCACUUUCUCUCAAUGCGCACUACCAACACUCUUGUCUGUGCAUUUGCUCAUUCUAGGCUUUAUUACUCGACUUCUUGCUUGCAGGCUAUCCCUUAUAACUCAUCCAUAAACUUCACAAAGUAUGGAACACUGCUGCAUGUCUGGUGCUUAGAGCUAGGAAACUGUGUCACUCUUCUUCUUCAUAGUCUGCACUAGCAACCCAUCCGCUCUCGCAUUCAGUACAAACUGUCUGUGUUAUGUUUUAAUUUCAUUGCAGGAUCCUGCUCUACUUCUCUGAACUUCUCCUCCCCUAAGCCCCAUCCAGACAACUAUGCUCUUCGUCUGAUGACCAUAUCCCAGCUAUUCCUGUCACCAGAACAACAAUGUACAGCCAUAGGGUUUAGUUACUGUGUAGCAAAACAGGAACUCCUUUUCCAUAUUCGCCAUCUACCUGCAAUGGAACCUUCAAAUCUGCACUGAAAACACACCUCUUCCUUGAGGAUUACUCCUAACACAGUCCAUACAAUAUUAAUCCUUUUUCACCCUAACCCCCCCACCCCACAACCUCUUUUGGCUUUUGCUACUUUCCUACUUGUCUUCAUCUGCAGAAUCACAAUAUUCUUAGUUCUUGUUACUUGGUUCCUUUUUUUGCAUUUUCUAUAUUUGUCUUUUAUUCGUCAUCAGUGCUUCAUUGUUUCAUUGUUUAUUCUUCCGUCCUUCAGUGUCCAUGUUGUCCAUGAUUUGUUCUUGUUUUAAGCACAAAGAGCAUGCUCCUUACAAGUGUAUCUGCUAUACAUUUCUUUCAUUAUUAUUGGUAGUACUCUAUGCCUUUUUUCAUCUUGAUAAUUCUUCAUUUCAUUUUCUUAAUACUGAUACUGAAUUUUGCAACUGCAUACCUACAUAUGCACACACAUUCUGGGAAAUUAAAUAAUAAUAAUAUAGUACAUUUCAUCACAGGGCAGCAAGCUCAAUGUCCUUCACAAAAGAGAACACCACAAAAUAAAGCAAACUGGCAAUUAAGAUAUGAAAGUGAAGUACUCGUGUUGCUUUUUCAAAGUUUAAGAUGUCUUAAAUAAUUCAGAUCUGUAUUCCAUAAAAACAGUGAUGCCAUCAUCAUCUGAUUACAAGAUUACAAAUUUGGGGAUGCAUUCACGUAUCUAGAGAAAGAAUUGAACAAACCCAAGAUUCGUUCUUCCUCAUGAUUUUCUCAUUAAAAACAAUGAACACACUGCUGUUACACAGACUGUCUAAAGUCAAACAAAGUAACUCUUCCCGUGAAAAUGUCUUCUGCUGGCUACUCAAUGUUGCGAUAUGAUUUGUUAUGAUAUCACUAUCAAUGGCAAUCUAGUGACUGACCUCCCAAAAGGUGAUUUGCCAAGAUCUUUUGCACAAAUCUUCUAAUUUCUCAUGUGAAUACCUUGACCAUGUAUUAAAAAAAAAACCACACACAUAGAAAAGAUAACAUUUUAAAAUGAGCUUGAGUGUGAAGUUCAGUGCUAAAUAACAUCCGUCACAGUCCAGGUAGCAAAAUCUACUACUUUUGGAUCUAUGAUCACACUAUAUCUUUGCAGUACAGUUUGAACUUUAUAAGUACUUUAAGGUUCACCUUUUCCUCUGUGCAAGGUGUCUACAAGUAGUGGUUGAAUCUUACAUUUUUGAAAUUUUAGAUGCAUAUUUUGCGUUCUUUUUUUUUUUGGUUGCAUGUCUGGCAGGAUUUCAACUACCAUGAUCACUAUGAUAGUGAAGACUUUUUUUGUUUUGCACCGCCAACAAUCUAUGUGUAAGUUGUGGAUUUUUAUAGGCUUCUGUUUGUGUUCAUAGCUUUUCACUGACCAUUCUGUACAUGCACUGAUGCUAUGAGAACUACACCCAUUACUUGUUCAUUUCAGAGAUGCUGUACUCAUGCUGAAGAGAGAAAGAGGGAAAGAGUGAUUCAAAUAUCAAAAUGUAAUGAUUUUAUUUAAUGUAAGAGAAAAUAGAAUUGUUUGGGUUACUAGGGACAUAUUCCAAUUAAUGACAUGAAGUGUUAAUAAAAAGGAAUAAUCACAUUCAAAUGUCAUACCAAAACAUUCAACUUAAAAAAUAUUUGAUAUUUAAAUGUCGGUUUUCCAGUACUUGUCUUUUACCAAUAACAUUUACACAAAGGAGAAAUUUUAUUUUAUAACUUUUAGUCCACUUGCUUUUUAAUAAUAAUAAAGGUCACUUAUAUAGCACCUUAUCCCUACCCUAAGGGCAAGAUCAAGACGUUUCAGAUAAAAAUAGGAAAAAAGAGUAAACGUGAUAUCCAGAUUUUUCAGCUUGUGGACAGUCUCCUGAUAUGGCGGUGCACAUUAUUCCCUCAAAGCAGUUGCCACAUAAUAAUAAUAAUUCUGGAAUCAAGAAAGUAUGAGGACAAGUGUUUUUCUACUUUUUAGUCUGACCAUGAUCACUUACACACUGAAAACAUUGAUACUAGCUUCAUAUGAGGCCACCCACUAAUGACAUGGAUGUGUACACAGUUGUAAGGAGUUAGUUUUAGAAUCACUGAAAAAUAGCCGAAUACCUGUACUAAGAUCAUCAGGUUAAAUUUACAAUCAUUGAAAAAUAGCCAGAUUCUGUUCAAGAAUUUCUGGACCGAACUACUGGAGGCAAUCAACAGCAUGUUGGGGUAGUCAUAUACUGUUUGCAGGUACUAACCCCUACAACUGUGGAGAGUGAGUUGUGGAGGCCAGUGAGACACACCUGUUCGCUAGUUGGUAUUAGCCAUCACGCUACUGUGUAUGACACUUCUGCUAUGCAAGUAUUCCAGAGCAUGCAAGUACAUCCUGCAAGAUAGAUGUGAACCAUAGCUCUGGCAUAUUGCCGUGAAACAGGCAAGCAGCAGGUCAGGGCAAGAAUCAUACCCCACAACAGGCAUGACUGUCCACAGUUCAUGGCGAUGGAAGAAGCUACAGUAAUGUGAGAGAAUAGUCUCAUGUUGUAACUGCUUGGUUAUUACAACUUCUUUCUGUACACUGGAGAACUCGUGAUCUAAGUUUUCUAGAUUAAUCCGUUUAACAG